rnacentral:tRNA from 1 species
GCGGAGGUAACAAAACGGCCAUGUGGCCGGCUGCAGACCGGCAUAAGUGGGUUCAACUCCCACCCUCCGCU